GGAAGAGAAAGAUGCUGGAGCAGGUUGGAUUUGAAACAGAAGUUUCACUGGCUAUUUCCCCCAACACCAUGCCUACAUGCCACUACACUCCCCAAAUGAUAAUGUGUUGGGCCCUACUUGGCCUUGGUUUGGGCCUUGAAGAUGAACCCAAGCCUGGCUCAAUUUUCAAGACUUAUCAUUUGCUUCCGCUUGAGAAUGACUCAGCACGACCUACCGACCUGAAUGAGACUGCCUCUGCCCAGCGAGAUCACGCCACAUCCCUCGUCAUCUCACGCCACCCUAUAUGUCAUCUCACCCCAUACUUCUAUCCCCUCCUCCUUGCCCUGUCUAUAUAAGCAAACUGCUGUCAUAUUAAAGUGAGUUCCU